UGGGGAAUAUUGGACAAUGGGCGAAAGCCUGAUCCAGCCAUGCCGCGUGUGUGAAGAAGGUCUUCGGAUUGUAAAGCACUUUAAGUUGGGAGGAAGGGCAGUAAGCGAAUACCUUGCUGUUUUGACGUUACCGACAGAAUAAGCACCGGCUAACUCUGUGCCAGCAGCCGCGGUAAUACAGAGGGUGCAAGCGUUAAUCGGAAUUACUGGGCGUAAAGCGCGCGUAGGUGGUUCGUUAAGUUGAAUGUGAAAGCCCCGGGCUCAACAUGGGAACUGCAUCCAAAACUGGCGAGCUAGAGUAGGGCAGAGGGUGGUGGAAUUUCCUGUGUAGCGGUGAAAUGCGUAGAUAUAGGAAGGAACACCAGUGGCGAAGGCGACCACCUGGGCUCAUACUGACACUGAGGUGCGAAAGCGUGGGGAGCAAACAGG
rnacentral:rRNA from 1 species